GCCGCUGUUCUCCUGGGGUAGCUCAGUUGGUAGAGCUUGAGACUGUUAAGCUCAGAGUCGUGGGUUCAAGUCUCACAUUGGGCA